GGGCACGACACCGGAGAGGGAGCCUGAGAAACGGCUACCACAUCCAAGGAUGGCAGCAGGCGCGCAAAUUACCCAAUCCCGACACGGGGAGGUAGUGACAAUAAAUAACAAUACGGGGUUCUUAGGAUCUCGUAAUUGGAAUGAGUACAAUUUAAAUCUCUUAACGAGGAACAAUUGGAGGGCAAGUCUGGUGCCAGCAGCCGCGGUAAUUCCAGCUCCAAUAGCGUAUAUUAAAGUUGUUGCAGUUAAAAAGCUCGUAGUUGAAUUUCGGGGUUAGUAGGUUGGUCAUGCCUCUGGUAUGUACUGGUCUCACUGAUUCCUCCUUCCUGAUGAACCGUAAUGCCAUUAAUUUGGUGUUGCGGGGAAUUUGGACUGUUACUUUGAAAAAAUUAGAGUGUUUAAAGCAAGCUAACGCUUGAAUACAUUAGCAUGGAAUAAUGAAAUAGGACGUUCGAUCCUAUUUUGUUGGUUUCUAGGAUUGACGUAAUGAUUAAUAGGGAUAGUUGGGGGCAUUAGUAUUCAAUUGUCAGAGGUGAAAUUCUUGGAUUUAUUGAAGACUAACUACUGCGAAAGCAUUUGCCAAGGAUGUUUUCAUUAAUCAAGAACGAAAGUUAGGGGAUCGAAGACGAUCAGAUACCGUCGUAGUCUUAACCAUAAACUAUGCCGACUAGGGAUCGGAUGAUGUUAAUUUUUUAAUGACUCAUUCGGCGCCUUACGGGAAA
rnacentral:rRNA from 1 species